rnacentral:rRNA from 1 species
ACCGGCGGCUCGAGUGGUGGCCACUAUUAAUGGGCUUAAAGCGUUCGUAGCUGGCUUGUUAAGUCUCUGGGGAAAUCUUCGGGUUCAACUGGAGGGGGUCCAGGGAUACUGGCAGGCUAGGGACCGGGGGAGGUGAGAGGUACUCCAGGGGUAGGAGUGAAAUCCUGUAAUCCUUGGGGGACCACCUGUGGCGAAGGCGUCUCACCAGGACGGCUCCGACAGUGAGGAACGAAAGCUGGGGGAGCAAACCG